rnacentral:tRNA from 1 species
UGGGGUAUAGCCAAGCGGUAAGGCAGCGGUUUUUGGUACCGCCAUUCCCUGGUUCGAAUCCAGGUACCCCAGCCA